rnacentral:rRNA from 1 species
ACUCUGGUAUUGAUUGGUGCUUGCAUCAUGAUUUACAUUUGAGUGAGUGGCGAACUGGUGAGUAACACGUGGGAAACCUGCCCAGAAGCGGGGGAUAACACCUGGAAACAGAUGCUAAUACCGCAUAACAACUUGGACCGCAUGGUCCGAGUUUGAAAGAUGGCUUCGGCUAUCACUUUUGGAUGGUCCCGCGGCGUAUUAGCUAGAUGGUGGGGUAACGGCUCACCAUGGCAAUGAUACGUAGCCGACCUGAGAGGGUAAUCGGCCACAUUGGGACUGAGACACGGCCCAAACUCCUACGGGAGGCAGCAGUAGGGAAUCUUCCACAAUGGACGAAAGUCUGAUGGAGCAACGCCGCGUGAGUGAAGAAGGGUUUCGGCUCGUAAAACUCUGUUGUUAAAGAAGAACAUAUCUGAGAGUAACUGUUCAGGUAUUGACGGUAUUUAACCAGAAAGCCACGGCUAACUACGUGCCAGCAGCCGCGGUAAUACGUAGGUGGCAAGCGUUGUCCGGAUUUAUUGGGCGUAAAGCGAGCGCAGGCGGUUUUUUAAGUCUGAUGUGAAAGCCUUCGGCUCAACCGAAGAAGUGCAUCGGAAACUGGGAAACUUGAGUGCAGAAGAGGACAGUGGAACUCCAUGUGUAGCGGUGAAAUGCGUAGAUAUAUGGAAGAACACCAGUGGCGAAGGCGGCUGUCUGGUCUGUAACUGACGCUGAGGCUCGAAAGUAUGGGUAGCAAACAGGAUUAGAUACCCUGGUAGUCCAUACCGUAAACGAUGAAUGCUAAGUGUUGGAGGGUUUCCGCCCUUCAGUGCUGCAGCUAACGCAUUAAGCAUUCCGCCUGGGGAGUACGGCCGCAAGGCUGAAACUCAAAGGAAUUGACGGGGGCCCGCACAAGCGGUGGAGCAUGUGGUUUAAUUCGAAGCUACGCGAAGAACCUUACCAGGUCUUGACAUACUAUGCAAAUCUAAGAGAUUAGACGUUCCCUUCGGGGACAUGGAUACAGGUGGUGCAUGGUUGUCGUCAGCUCGUGUCGUGAGAUGUUGGGUUAAGUCCCGCAACGAGCGCAACCCUUAUUAUCAGUUGCCAGCAUUAAGUUGGGCACUCUGGUGAGACUGCCGGUGACAAACCGGAGGAAGGUGGGGAUGACGUCAAAUCAUCAUGCCCCUUAUGACCUGGGCUACACACGUGCUACAAUGGAUGGUACAACGAGUUGCGAACUCGCGAGAGUAAGCUAAUCUCUUAAAGCCAUUCUCAGUUCGGAUUGUAGGCUGCAACUCGCCUACAUGAAGUCGGAAUCGCUAGUAAUCGCGGAUCAGCAUGCCGCGGUGAAUACGUUCCCGGGCCUUGUACACACCGCCCGUCACACCAUGAGAGUUUGUAACACCCAAAGUCGGUGGGGUAACCUUUUAGGAACCAGCC